CCUACGGGAGACAGCAGUGGGGAAUAUUGGGCAAUGGGCGCAAGCCUGACCCAGCAACGCCGCGUGAAGGAAGAAGGCCCUCGGGUUGUAAACUUCUUUUGUCAGGGACGAAGAAAGUGACGGUACCUGACGAAUAAGCCACGGCUAACUACGUGCCAGCAGCCGCGGUAAUACGUAGGUGGCAAGCGUUAUCCGGAUUUACUGGGUGUAAAGGGGGUGUAGGCGGGACUGCAAGUCAGAUGUGAAAUUCCAGGGCUCAACCCUGGAACUGCAUUUGAAACUGUAGUUCUUGAGUAUCGGAGAGGCAGGCGGAAUUCCUAGUGUAGCGGUGAAAUGCGUAGAUAUUAGGAGGAACACCAGUGGCGAAGGCGGCCUGCUGGACGACAACUGACGGUGAGGCGCGAAAGCGUGGGGAGCAAACAGGAUUAGAUACCCUUGUAGUC
rnacentral:rRNA from 1 species